AAGCGUUGUUCGGAUUUACUGGGCGUAAAGGGUGCGUAGGCGGUCGGGUAAGUCUGAUGUGAAAUCUCUGGGCUCAACCCAGAAAUGGCAUUGGAUACUAUUCGGCUAGAGAGUUGGAGGGGGGACUGGAAUACUUGGUGUAGCAGUGAAAUGCGUAGAUAUCAAGUGGAACACCAGUGGCGAAGGCGAGUCCCUGGACAACUUCUGACGCUGAGGCACGAAAGCUAGGGGAGCAAACAGG
rnacentral:rRNA from 1 species